CUAGGCGGCAGCCCGAGCCGAGUCGAGCUCACCGGAGCCGCUGUGCUGGAUGCCCUGGAGGAACAAGGAGGCCUCCAGCCCUUCUUCUGCUAACCCUGCUUCAGAGAUCCUCCAAAGCCCCAGCUCCAGAGGCAACAUGGCGGAUAAGCUGAAGGACCCCAGUGCCCUGGGCUUCCUGGAGGCAGCUGUAAAGAUCAGCCAUACUUCCCCAGAUAUCCCAGCCGAGGUGCAGAUGUCGGUCAAAGAGCACAUUAUGCGCCACACCAAGCUGCAGCGACAGACCACAGAGCCAGCGUCGUCUACCAGACACACGUCCUUCAAGCGCCACCUGCCACGGCAGAUGCAUGUCUCCAGUGUGGACUACGGCAAUGAACUGCCGCCGGCCGCCGCUGAACAGCCCACCAGUAUUGGCCGUAUCAAGCCUGAGCUCUACAAGCAGAAGUCAGUGGAUGGGGAUGAGGCCAAGUCUGAGG
rnacentral:lncRNA from 1 species